AACGUAGGACGCAAGCGUUAUCCGGAGUUACUGGGCGUAAAGCGCGGGCAGGCGGCUCGAUGCGUCUGAUGUGAAAUCUCCUCGCUCAACGGGGAGAGGCCAUUGGAAACGGUCGGGCUGGAGGGCAGUAGAGGCAGGCGGAAUUCCGGGUGGAGUGGUGAAAUGCGUAGAGAUCCGGAGGAACACCAGAGGCGAAGGCGGCCUGCUGGGCUGCACCUGACGCUGAACCGCGAAAGCUAGGGGAGCGAACAGG
rnacentral:rRNA from 1 species